UCCCUGGAGGACUAGUGGUUAGACUUCGGCGUUUUCACCGCCGUGCCCUGGGGUCGAUUCCCGGCCAGGGAG